rnacentral:sRNA from 1 species
AAUGCCGUUGUGUCUGCGGAAGUUAGAGU